AUUGAACGCUGGCGGCAGGCUUAACACAUGCAAGUCGAACGAGUGGCGGACGGGUGAGUAAUGUCUGGGAACCUGCCCGAUGGAGGGGGAUAACUACUGGAAACGGUAGCUAAUACCGCAUACCAUCGGAUGUGCCCAGAUGGGAUUAGCUAGUAGGUGGGGUAACGGCUCACCUAGGCGACGAUCCCUAGCUGGUCUGAGAGGAUGACCAGCCACACUGGGACUGAGACACGGGCCAGACUCCUACGGGAGGCAGCAGUGGGGAAUAUUGCACAAUGGGCGAAAGCCUGAUGCAGCCAUGCCGCGUGUAUGAAGAAGGCCGUCGGGUUGUAAAGUACUUUCGGCAAAGAGGCGUUACUCGCAGAAGAAGCACCGGCUAACUACGUGCCAGCAGCCGCGGUAAUUC
rnacentral:rRNA from 1 species